rnacentral:rRNA from 1 species
GGCGAACGGGUGAGUAACGCGUGGAUGACCUGCCCCUUUAGCGUGGAAUAACCAGGGGAAACUCUGGCUAAUACCGCAUAAGACCGAGAGGUGAAAGGGGGCUCGCAAGGGCUCUCGCUGAAGGAGGGGUCCGCGUCCGAUUAGCUAGUUGGUAGGGUAAUGGCCUACCAAGGCGACGAUCGGUAGCCGGCCUGAGAGGGUGAUCGGCCACACUGGAACUGAGACACGGUCCAGACUCCUACGGGAGGCAGCAGUGGGGAAUUUUGCGCAAUGGGCUAACGCCUGACGCAGCAACGCCGCGUGGAGGAUGAAGGUCCUUGGAUUGUAAACUCCUGUCAGCGGGGAAAAAGCGACUCUGGCUAAUAUCCAGAGGAGUUGAUUGUACCCGCAGAGGAAGCCCCGGCUAACUCUGUGCCAGCAGCCGCGGUAAUACAGAGGGGGCAAGCGUUAUUCGGAAUUAUUGGGCGUAAAGGGCGCGUAGGCGGCUUUGCAAGUGACGGGUGAAAUCCCUCGGCUUAACCGAGGAACUGCCUGUCAGACUGCAUGGCUUGAGACCAGGAGAGGUGAGUGGAAUUCCCAGUGUAGCGGUGAAAUGCGUAGAUAUUGGGAGGAACACCAGUGGCGAAGGCGGCUCACUGGACUGGUACUGACGCUGAGGCGCGAAAGCGUGGGGAGCAAACAGGAUUAGAUACCCUGGUAGUCC